rnacentral:rRNA from 1 species
GACGAACGCUGGCGGCGUGCAUAAUACAUGCAAGUAGAAAGCAGUAGCGAACGGGUGAGUAACGCGUAGGUAACUGCCUCAUAGCGGGGGAUAACUAUUGGAAAAGAUAGAUAAUACCGCAUACUGUGAGAGGGACCUGAGUUGUAUUUACUAGUUGGUGAGGUAAAGGCUCACCAAGGCGACGAUCCAUAGCGGACCUGAGAGGGUGAUCGGCCACUCUGUGACUGAGACACAGCCCAGACGCCUACGGGAGGCAGCAGUAGGGAAUCUUCGGCAAUGGACGGAAGUCUGACUGAGCAACGCCGCGUGAGUGAAUAAGGUUUUCGGAUCGUAAAGCUCUGUUGUUAGAGAAGCGGUAUCUAACCAGAAAGGGACGGCUAACUACGUGCCAGCAGCCGCGGUAAUUC